rnacentral:rRNA from 1 species
UACGUAGGGUCCGAGCGUUGUCCGGAGUUACUGGGCGUAAGGCGCGCGCAGGCGGCGGUAUAAGCAUGGCGUGAAAGCCCCAGGCUCAACCUGGGAGGGUCGUCGUGGACUGUACCGCUUGAGGGCGAUAGGGGCUGGUGGAAUGCCUGGUGUAGUGGUGAAAUGCGUAGAGAUCAGGCGGAACACCCGUGGCGAAGGCGGCCAGCUGGGUCGUCCCUGACGCUGAGGCGCGAAGGCGUGGGGAGCAAACAGG